CCUCUUCCCAACAAUAUUCCUUCCUCUUCUCCAUACCUCUUUUCUUCAUCUCUCUCUUUCUCUCAUAUCCAUUCUUCUUCUUCUUCUUCAACAACUUGUUAUUGAUUAUACCCUUCUCCUUAUGCUCAAGUUUUGGUUCUAGCUUGAUUGAGCUUGAAACGGAAGAGAUAGGAAAAAGAAGAAUGAGUUCAAGCACAGUGCCACUUCCCACCAACAAUAAGGAAAACAAGCAAGAAAAUAACAAUGAGACUUACAAAGUUC
rnacentral:lncRNA from 1 species